rnacentral:rRNA from 1 species
CAGGAUGAACGCUAGCGGCAGGCUUAACACAUGCAAGUCGAGGGGUAGAGGCUUUCGGGCCUUGAGACCGGCGCACGGGUGCGUAACGCGUAUGCAAUCUGCCUUCCACAGAGGGAUAGCCCAGAGAAAUUUGGAUUAAUACCUCAUAGCAUCAUGACCCGGCAUCGGGAUAUGAUUAAAGUCACAACGGUGGAAGAUGAGCAUGCGUCCCAUUAGCUAGUUGGUAAGGUAACGGCUUACCAAGGCUACGAUGGGUAGGGGUCCUGAGAGGGAGAUCCCCCACACUGGUACUGAGACACGGACCAGACUCCUACGGGAGGCAGCAGUGAGGAAUAUUGGUCAAUGGGCGCAAGCCUGAACCAGCCAUGCCGCGUGCAGGAUGACGGUCCUAUGGAUUGUAAACUGCUUUUGUACGGGAAGAAACCCUCCUACGUGUAGGAGCUGAC